rnacentral:rRNA from 1 species
UACAGAGGUCUCAAGCGUUGUUCGGAUUCAUUGGGCGUAAAGGGUGCGUAGGCGGCGGGGUAAGUCUGGUGUGAAAUCUCGGAGCUCAACUCCGAAAUUGCACUGGAUACUGCUCUGCUAGAGGGCUGGAGAGGAGAUCGGAAUUCACGGGUGUAAGCAGUGAAAUGCGUAGAUAUCGUGAGGAAGACCAGUGGCGAAGGCGGAUCUCUGGACAGUUCCUGACGCUGAGGCGACGAAGGCCAGGGGAGCAAACGGG